UACAGAGGCCUCGAGCGUUAGGCGGAAUCACUGGGCUUAAAGCGUGUGUAGGCGGAUCGUUAAGUACCUUGUGAAAUCCCACGGCUCAACCGUGGAACUGCUUGGUAUACUGGCGGUCUUGGGCCAACUAGGGGCAGCCGGAACAAGCGGUGGAGCGGUGAAAUGCGUAGAUAUCGCUUGGAACGCCGAAGGUGAAAACAGGCUGCUGGGGUUGUGCCGACGCUGAGACACGAAAGCCAGGGGAGCAAACGGG
rnacentral:rRNA from 1 species